CAGUCGCCGCGGGAAUACAGAGGGUGCAAGCGUUAAUCGGAAUUACUGGGCGUAAAGCGCGCGUAGGUGGUUUGUUAAGUUGGAUGUGAAAUCCCCGGGCUCAACCUGGGAACUGCAUUCAAAACUGACUGACUAGAGUAUGGUAGAGGGUGGUGGAAUUUCCUGUGUAGCGGUGAAAUGCGUAGAUAUAGGAAGGAACACCAGUGGCGAAGGCGACCACCUGGACUGAUACUGACACUGAGGUGCGAAAGCGUGGGGAGCAAACAGGAUUAGAUACCCGUGUAGUCCCUGUCUCUUAUAC
rnacentral:rRNA from 1 species